AAAUAAAUGAAGACACUUAAUAAAAAUUCUGCAAUUUACGCGUAUUUCUUUGACGCUUUUUUCUUUAUUUUUUUCAUCUUCUUCUGUUUUCCCAUCCAUUUUACUUUCAUUGCGGGCUUCUCAA
rnacentral:ribozyme from 14 species